UUAAUGUAAAGGAGUACUUCAACUGGUCAAAUUUGAUUACAGUGCUUGAUUUUCACCAGUAAUGAUCUCAAAGCAAUAAUGAGGAAAUUGCAGAGGGGCGUUUGAAGAGAGGGAAAUGCUUUUAGGGAAAUUACAGGUAAUGAUUGCAGUAGCAAAGAGGGAAAUGGUUGGGCACAAGAUACAAAACUGGAUCGCGAAAAUUCCCCCGAUCAACCACGCCACUGUUAUCUCAAGAUAAAAACUCCGAUGCAUGAGAAUCCAAGGAUUCCAAGGUGGGCACCAAACAACGUGACUCUGAUGCGUCUUUAGGUGCGUUGUCCAAAGCAGGGUCCAAGUCGGCUUCGAAUUCUGCAAGCACCAUUGAGACAACGUCGUGUGUACUGAACGAUGGGUUUUGGAGAACCAUGGGGCCACAUGAAGUUGACGUUGCAGGCAAGAGGGG
rnacentral:sRNA from 1 species